GUACUUGCUUUGGCAGCACAUAUACUAAAAUUGAAAUGACACAGAGAAGAUUAGCAUGGCCCCUGCGCAUGUUGUCAUGCAAAUUCAUGAAGCAUUCCAGAUUUUU
ensembl:snRNA U6 U6 spliceosomal RNA